UGAAUACUGUCUCCAGAGCCUGACGAUUUUCACGCGAAUUUUCCACAUUGUCUUGAAAGGUUUCAGCUGAGAAACAGAGUCGAGUUGAGCCAUUGCAAAGUUUCGAGGAAAAUCUUGGGCAAGAAGAAAAUUGAGAUCUAUUUACAUAUUGGGCUAAUCCCCGGUUUGAGGUGACUUAAUAGCAUCGUACUAUCUUCGUAAGUCAUCAUAUAAUAAAUCUGUGUUAUAAAAACAUAAUUAAUUUGAACCAAUAUUAACAAAAAUAUAUAUUAAUAAUUUGUCG